rnacentral:rRNA from 1 species
UUUGAUCCUGGCUCAGGACGAACGCUGGCGGCGUGCUUAACACAUGCAAGUCGAGCGGUAAGGCCCUUCGGGGUACACGAGCGGCGAACGGGUGAGUAACACGUGGGUGAUCUGCCUCGCACUUCGGGAUAAGCCUGGGAAACUGGGUCUAAUACCGGAUAUGACCUUUCAGUGCAUGCUGUUGGGUGGAAAGAUUUAUCGGUGCGAGAUGGGCCCGCGGCCUAUCAGCUUGUUGGCGGGGUAACGGCCCACCAAGGCGACGACGGGUAGCCGACCUGAGAGGGUGACCGGCCACACUGGGACUGAGACACGGCCCAGACUCCUACGGGAGGCAGCAGUGGGGAAUAUUGCACAAUGGGCGGAAGCCUGAUGCAGCGACGCCGCGUGAGGGAUGACGGCCUUCGGGUUGUAAACCUCUUUCGACAGGGACGAAGCGCAAGUGACGGUACCUGUAGAAGAAGCACCGGCCAACUACGUGCCAGCAGCCG